rnacentral:rRNA from 1 species
CCUACGGGUGGCACCAGUGGGGAAUUUUGGACAAUGGGCGCAAGCCUGAUCCAGCCAUGCCGCGUGAGUGAAGAAGGCCUUCGGGUUGUAAAGCUCUUUCGGCCGGGAAGAAAUCGCACUCUCUAACAUAGGGUGUGGAUGACGGUACCGGACUAAGAAGCACCGGCUAACUACGUGCCAGCAGCCGCGGUAAUACGUAGGGUGCGAGCGUUAAUCGGAAUUACUGGGCGUAAAGCGUGCGCAGGCGGUUUUGUAAGACAGAUGUGAAAUCCCCGGGCUUAACCUGGGAACUGCGUUUGUGACUGCAAGGCUAGAGUACGGCAGAGGGGGGUGGAAUUCCACGUGUAGCAGUGAAAUGCGUAGAGAUGUGGAGGAACACCGAUGGCGAAGGCAACCCCCUGGGCCUGUACUGACGCUCAUGCACGAAAGCGUGGGGAGCAAACAGGAUUAGAUACCCUUGUAGUC